ACGAACGCUGGCGGCGUGCUUAACCCCUGCCAGUCGAACGGAAAGGCCCCUUUGGGGGUACUCGAGUGGCGAACGGGUGAGUAACACGUGAGUAACCUGCCCUUGACUUCGGGAUAACUUCAGGAAACUGGGGCUAAUACCGGAUAGGAAUCCUUGCUGCAUGGUGGGGGUUGGAAAGCUUCGGCGGUUUUGGAUGGACUCGCGGCUUAUCAGCUUGUUGGUGGGGUAGUGGCUUACCAAGGCUUUGACGGGUAGCCGGCCUGAGAGGGCGACCGGCCACAUUGGGACUGAGAUACGGCCCAGACUCCUACGGGAGGCAGCAGUGGGGAAUAUUGCACAAUGGGCGGAAGCCUGAUGCAGCAACGCCGCGUGCGGGAUGACGGCCUUCGGGUUGUAAACCGCUUUCAGCAGGGGCGAAGCUUGUGGUGACGGUACCUGCAGAAGAAGCACCGGCUAACUACGUG
rnacentral:rRNA from 1 species